CAUGAAGCUGGAAUCGCUAGUAAUCACAGGUCAGCAUACUGCGGUGAAUACGUUCCCGGGUCUUGUACACACCGCCCGUCACACCAUGGGAGCCGGUAAUACCCGAAGUCAGUAGUCCAACCACGUGAGGACGCUGCCGAAGGUAGGAUUGGCGACUGGGGUGAAGUCGUAACAAGGUACC
rnacentral:rRNA from 1 species